GAUGAACGCUGGCGGCGUGCUUAACACAUGCAAGUCGAACGGUGAAAGAGAGCUUGCUCUCUGGAUCAGUGGCGAACGGGUGAGUAACACGUGAGCAAUCUGCCCCUGACUCUGGGAUAAGCGCUGGAAACGGCGUCUAAUACCGGAUACGAGCUGCGAAGGCAUCUUCAGCAGCUGGAAAGAAUUUCGGUCAGGGAUGAGCUCGCGGCCUAUCAGCUAGUUGGUGGGGUAACGGCUCACCAAGGCGUCGACGGGUAGCCGGCCUGAGAGGGUGACCGGCCACACUGGGACUGAGAAACGGCCCAGACUCCUACGGGAGGCAGCAGUGGGGAAUAUUGCACAAUGGGCGAAAGCCUGAUGCAGCAACGCCGCGUGAGGGACGACGGCCUUCGGGUUGUAAACCUCUUUUAGCAGGGAAGAAGCGAAAGUGACGGUACCUGCAGAAAAAGCACCGGCUAACUACGUGCCAGCCGCCGCGGUAAAAC
rnacentral:rRNA from 1 species